rnacentral:lncRNA from 1 species
ACUAAAACUUCUAGGAAUUCAGAAAUCUGGUAACACUUUUAAAACUAAUCAUGAUUGCAUCAUAAAAUUCUUUAUUCUUAAUUCUAGGUAAGCAACUGUAAAAUAUAGAGACUAUAAAUAAUCUGAUAUUCAUGAAAAUCUAUAAAAUAUUGCUGCUGCUUAAUACUAUAAGUUGAAAGCUUUAUUCUGAAAACUGAAUUCUAUAAUCUGAAAUCUGAUAAACUGUAGAAAUACUGAGAAACCACACCAAAAAGGUAUCAAUGAAUAGCCUUACUCAUGUAC